rnacentral:rRNA from 1 species
UACGGAGGAUGCAAGCGUUAUCCGGAUUCAUUGGGUUUAAAGGGUGCGUAGGCGGACUAUUAAGUCAGUGGUGAAAGCCUGCAGCUUAACUGCAGAACUGCCAUUGAUACUGAUAGUCUUGAGUUUGGUUAAGGUAGGCUGAAUGUGUAAUGUAGCGGUGAAACGCUUAGAUAUUACACAGAACACCAAUUGCGUAGGCAGCUUACUGAGCCGACACUGACGCUGAGGCACGAAAGCGUGGGGAUCGAACA